UGGCUUUGAACAGUUCGGUAACGUUGUUUCCCUUUUAGUUACAAAGAAAUAAAUUCAGAGGAAAGAAGGUCAUUUUAUUUGUUCACAGAUAAAGUGCACACAGGCAGAAACAAGGUAGGGCCCCAACUUCAGUGAAAAUCGAACCACCGGCCUAGACUGACAAAUCAGGUAAGCCAAGCACUUGGACUGGUCUGCCCGCUCACACGUGAGAAAGCAAACACCGAGUGACGGCAGGGUCACAAACGCAUAAGUUAUCUUAUUCAAUUUUUCUUUUAAUCUCUUGUCCCAGAAAUAGACCCAAGUACUAUAAAGUUCUAGACACAUUUUCUGUUAAUGAAGUUUUGACCCCAAUUUCGCUUUACAUCAAAAUUAGUUGAGCUUCUCACAGAAGAGUGAGAAAGACUUCAUUCAACCCAGCCACCACUUUCAAAAUGAAUUAAUGGGCAGUAUCUUUCAAUUGUACAAACAAUUUACAACUUUCUACCCCUCUAACAUUUUGGAUUUUUAAAAACGUUCUAGGUUUUAAGGAACAAAAAGGAAAAAACCGCCUCCAUCCAUCCUGCCCCCCCCACCUCCACCCCACACACACAAUUUCACCGAGUAAUUUAUCUUAAUUUUAUUUUUUAAAUAAAGUUCAUUCUACAAGCUUUCUUUUGUCUGCCUGCCCUUUCUAUCUCCAGUAGCACAUAUUUGGGUGGUGGGAGAGCAUUCCUAAAUGGGACCCUUAUGGGAGGAACGUGGGAAUAAGGGAAACCACUAUCCUGAGGCUUGCCCACUUGACCCUCAGCGUUCCCCAUCCGACCCCUUCCAGCUCUGUUCCUUUCUCUGGCUGUUCUUCCAGGAGCCGGAGCACCUCAGGUCUGCACACAGUAAACUGAGUUUUGCUUCGAGAUGCACCUAGAGGCAUGGGUGGGUUUCCCCACGGGAAGCUUUGAGACGUAUGUGUUUCUUCUGGUUCGCUUGUGUGUAUAUGCUCGGUCGAGGCAACCCAGUCGCCUACCCUUGGGGUAGAUCCACCGACGGAGCAGGCGCUCUCUCAAGGAAUGCCGACACCCACAUGCUGCCCACUGCCCUCCAGUCCCUGCGAAAAAACACCGGAUGGGGCUUGCCUGAAGCACGUGGCCUCUGGUGACUAAGAGCAGGCACGCGGGUGAGAAGCCGGAGAAGAACCUGGCAGGCAGGGCAUGUGUAUCCCCGCCGGGCUCCCUACGCGCCCAAGUCUCCCCUGCAAUCCAAAGCGCAGAUCAAUCUCCCUUUCUACCAGGACGGCCUUUUCCGUUGAAAAGUGGGGGUGGGGGGGGGCACGACAAGGAAAAAAGGAAAGGAAGUGUGCUCGCAUGUUAAUUUGGUUUUUUCCCCCCCUCUCCAUGUGCUUCCAAAUUAAAAAGUGGCCUCUUAGGCGACAGGCCUGCGGUUUUCACAGUGUAAAACGGAUUAGUGGGCAAACUCCUGCCCUUCUCGACUUUCGCUUGCGGUUUGCAACCCCCAGGGCGGGUCUGACCCGGAGGCACCUGCCCAGGCGAGCUUUGCCCGCAGCUGCCUAGCGCGUGGACUCCGCUUCUCCGGCGCCAACACCCACCCCAGGGACCAUCGGCCUCCCACCCGCGGGGCGUAUCCCAGGCCCAGUGCCCAGGGGGAGGGGAGUUCCCACGGUGUGGAUGAUCCGCACACUCAGAGCCAGCAGCCCGCCUUCCAGCCCCUGUGCGCUUGCGUCCCGACUCCUCCUCCGCCGCUCCUGGGUCAUGGGUGGGCCGGAGUCCAGGGACCGUCUGCAGCCCACGCUCCAGGGAGCCACGCGGAACCCUGCUUGUUCAUUCAUAGGUUUUCCUCCAAGAAUCUGAAGUUCGUGGAGGACACUUCCAAGAGUUCUCUCAUGAUUAUCAGUCGGUUCAAGAAAGGGAAAAAAAAAGUAUAGGCUAACUCCGAGCAGAGGUCGCUGAAGGGGACGUGUACCCCACACAGGCUGGACGCGUGGUUCCGUCCUCUAGUACGUGCACCUGUUCACGAGUUUGCUGGGAGUGAGAAGAUUCCGAGAUUGGCCAAUCUUAUCCCUUUUGUUUAUUACGUUUAAUAAACAAAAGUAAAAGUUUGCUUCCCAGUUCUAGAAAUGCCUUCUGGUCUUUCCGCCCUGAAGCGGGAUUUAGGCAUCCUCUAACACUGCAGAGAAUUAUCAAUGUCGAUCCACAGUGGGGCAUCCACAGAAGAGGUCCUACAGAUGGUGGGGCCAAGGGUCCAGAAAAUAGCGUCAGCGAGGGACAAAUUCCGGGGUUCUGGACCGUCAGGCACGUUUCGCUUGGGGGACCCUUGAGCGUGAGGGUGAGGGAGGACCCACGUCCACCCACAGCCACGAGCGUCAUGGAGCAUCAGGCGGGUUCCACCUUAAAGAGUCCCGGAGCGCCCAACUGCGGAGACGCCUGGCACCUGCAGGGGGCGCUGCUGCCUCGCGGUUCCUCCCGCGCCGGGGCACAGCGAGCUCCUCGGCCUCCAGGCCUUCGUCCCCGGAGGGGGUGGGGACCCUAGGGGGAGGAAGGGCGCGAGUGCGGCCGCUAGGUAAGGAUCCCGAGCCCUUCUGGAUAGAGAAACAGCCUCCACAAGGCGCUAGCUGCGUGCAGCCUUCCGUCUUUCGGCCCAGAGAGGAAGUGCAAGCAGAAGCCCUCCCCUGCCCCCACCGCCUUCCUGCGUCCCUCCACCUCCGCUCUCCGACCCCGACCGUGCUUCCCAGACCCUUUGUUCUCCAGGUUGGGAGCGGCUGGGUGGGUUCCCCGGGGAGGAGGUGCCCUCGCUGCACGUGGAGGGGAAGGGAUUGUCGCCGGGCUUCCGACCCGCAGUUCUCGCCCUUAGAGUCCCCUUAGCCCCACCGCCCCUUGACUUGGGCAGCUCCGUGUGGGCUUUCCCGCCUCUCUUUCCACGUCGCCGCCUCCCGGGUCUCCAGGAAGAGGAAGGGUAAAGACUGACGCCAGGGGCUAGAGAGACCACGUCUACUUCCAGGCGCGGAGAAGCCCCUGGGACUCGUUUGGGCCUGAACCCACAGCGCCCGCCGCAGGUCACCGAGGGCAUACUCGGACCUCGGGCGCACGGUCGCGGCAGCAAGUCCCGUCGCAACCCCUCUUCCUGAGGACCCCAGAGCCCCAGAGGGGAGAAUGGGACAUUGUAUGUCGCGCCCAGGAGUCUGAUUGCAAACGAACGCUCUCUCCACCCCACCCUCGGCGGCGCCACCCGCGUCGCCCCUCUGCCGCGCGUGACCCCAAGGGCUUGGGCGAUUGUGUCUCCCUGAGUACAGUUACAAUUGUGUUCGGCUUAAUUUCUUACUCGGCUGAAGGCGUCGCGGAGUAAAGCGAGGGGAGCAGGAUGUAGGGUGGGGGAGGGGAGCUAGAGCGGGAAACUGCGGGGGAGGGGAGGGCAACUGCACAGUGAAGGGCUACUACAGGUCCCGAGUCCGAGGUGACCAGGCAGCACCACUCAUCCAGGCCCAGAACCUGGGCCCAGCAGCCGUAGCGUGGCAGAGCUCUCCCCAGCCUCGGCCCUGUGCACGAAUCUCCGCAGACUGCCAUCCUCACUCUUUGCACUCCAGCUCAUUUGCGCUCGGCCGGGUUGGGGGAGGGUUCCGCACCAGCAGGGUGUCACCAAGUAGGUGCAGCCGCUGGAGUAGCAGCUCGGCCUGUGGCUGUCAGCUCCAGGCUUACGGGAGCCCCCUCCCGCCUCUUGGCUUGACCCAGGUCCUCACUGGCUGGUCUAAAGGCGCGCUAGCACUUCUCUCCGCAGCGGGUUCCGGGGGACACACCCCAUCCCCACCCCCGAGAGCUGGCGGCCAGCUCGGUAUGCCAGGCGGCCAGACGGGCGCCCUGCCAAAUUCCGCGUUCCUCUCCAGGAGACGGGGAAUUGCGUCCCAGGCUCGGGAAAGCCGGUAGUUCGGGCUUGGGACUGGUUUGCAAAGCCUCCCCCCCGCUCCCCCAAGGCGCCAGGGACGCCUCUGCAGGUUGGAUUCCUACUCCGUAUCACUUCAAUUUUAAUUAAUCUUUUAAAACACCGCUGUCACGUCGCUUGCAGAAAAUUAAUCAAACUUGAAUCCUUGUUGCAUAGCAAGAAUUUCGAUCCAAGUCUUUUAAAAAGGACUUGACUUUGCAAAGUCACGUCUUUUACAGUUCCUUCAUUCCCCCUUUAGCAAGGGAAAUACUGCAAAAGUCAGGACAUGUUUGCUUCUUUCUGCCUUUAAAAUGAAACUCUGCUUAUUUCUGAUCUUUAUUUUCCUGUCUUUGAACAAAAAAAAAAGUUAAGCGAUAAAUUGCCUUACCUCUGUUAAUUCGAAAUAUAAUUAGUUUGAAUGAUCUUUGUUUAAGAGCCCAGAUAAACUAAGAUAAUCUUAAUUUUAAUGUGACACGACCCCUAUUUUUCCUUGUGAAUAAUGAGAAUAAAGAAGUCAUUAAUUAAUACCAAGGUAUCUCCAUAGAAGACGGUAUCUGGUAGCGCCAAGACGCUGAAACAUCGGUUGUAUUAGUAAUUGAUACUGUAUAAUUGAACAUGAAGAUAGUCGUCUGUUUUUUAACCUCAAAGCUCCGAGUUUAUUUGGUGAUUACUGAGCUUCUAAUAAUUAAUUUUAGUCCCUUCUUGAUGCAAAAAUUCUUAGGAUUCCCAGUUCCCAUGCAACGGAGGAUUCUUAUUAAAGCCCACCCCUCAAAAUGAUCGAGGAGCUAUAUCAUGGAGCAACCCUUCCUGGCCCGUUAUUUGUAAUAAAUUUGCCCUAUUUUCAUGUCUGAUUACAUUUCCCUGUGCUGUAAUUUACGAAAGUACAAGAAUAUGCCUACUUCUUAUUACUGCUUUGUCUCCCCGUCCGCACUCAGUCGGCUCAGCCUAGCACAUGAUCCCUAAGACGUUCAGCAUUUUAAGUUUCUGAGAUUUAAAGAUGAAUCCCAUUAAAGAAUCAAAAACUUUAUACAGAGUGAUUGCCACACACCAGACUCUGAUCAAACCCACAACCUGCGUUAGCUCACACUUUUCUGUUAUUAAGACGGACUUCCCAACACACUCCCCCUUUCCAACAUGAAUGGAGAAACAGCUACUGCAGUUUCCUGGGCUAAAUUUAGUGUUAGCACAACUUUUGGCAUUAAUAUAAAAAUCCUCUCCAAAGUAAUAAGGUCUUCCAAAUAACAAUGGCUAUUUAGACUCUAGCUGUAAAGUGUCUACUGAUUUCUCACCAUGAAUUUGCUAAUGGCCCUGCCUUUUAACCAAUCCAAUGGGCUAUGGUGUUUUUCUCGUGUGUACAAAGUUAAGAAAACCCUCCUCCGAUACCUUCCACCAAACACGUGUCACCCCAAGUAAGCAUGAAGUUUUUUAUACCACAUAAAUAUUCUUAGACCCUGCCCUUCUACGCCCCGCUUAAUUAUCAGCACUAGUCCUGAAACUGUUGGAAAGGACUUCAGCCUCACAUUUUAAUUUCCCCUUUACUACAAUUAAAACUUUAGGCCAGUGUAUGCUGGCGUCAUUCCCUUCUCUUGGAUCUUAUAUUUUCCCACUAUAAUUUAGGCUGAAAUGGGAUUAAAACAGGAUCUAGAGUUCUAAUCUCGGUUGAAGUUUUGGUGUAUUCACAGCAAAUGAGUCCUGUUCCCUGCGGUCAUGAAGCUCCCAGAUGUCAAUCAAGCAAACUGAUUCAGAAAUGCCAUUGUUCGGCUCCCACGUCACUCGCCUUCCUCUCGUUUUAUUGAACAAUACCGGAGUUCUCUGAUCAGUCAUUCGGAAUAUGAGGCAUUAUCUGGGGAAAAUUCACAAAGUGUCUUGAUCUUUCUUUGGGAGAUACUGUUAAGGGGCUUCCGCAAGGCAGAGAGCUUGUUUAUAUUUCUGUCUUUGGACAGCACUGUGGAUAGGGGGAAAAAGCAAGGAAUACCUCCUGAAAGAAAAUCAUGCCGUAAAUCCGUCAAAAAUUAAUUCGUCCAGUCGAAUGUAACAUUUCCAUUUUCGUAUUGUAAGCGUACUUAUUUGUUAUCUAAGAAAGUAUCACGGGGCGGGGUUCAGUUGACAUGCCCCCACAUCCAACCCCCUGUUUCACCCAUCUAAUAAUACUAAUGUGUUUACACUAGUUAUCUAAGAAUUUAUUUGGGAACUGGGAAGAGCUAAGCUAGGCUAGGAAACUCUCUCCCCUGCCCCCUCAGGAAACCUCUUCCACUCACUCGCUUUUCCCAGUCACAAUCCUGGGUCAUUCGUGCUUGCGUCCCCGCCCCGAGACAAUUCCCAAAGCCGAAGGCGCCUAUAGUGUUACCAGCUCCAAACAGCCCAAAUUAAUAAUCAACUUAAUUCGUGGAGGACUCGAGCCUUUAUCCUCAGUUCCCUGAAGGCAACGGGUAUGGAGCCCGGCUCCUGCGAGCACUUCCUUGCAGGGAGGCAGGCAUGCAGGGACAGAUGUCAGGGGAAAAGCGAUCGAUGGCGACUUUCACCUACAGGGUUAUGGGCAAGGAAGCAGGAAUCAACCCUCUUAACUGUGGUUCUCAUACGGGAAUUCCUGCAAACGCGACAGCCUCGCAGGCUCGGGCUACUGGCGCUUGCAGCACCCUUUUGCCACACGCACACGACCCGCGCGUCUUCCGCGCACACUUAGAGCUGAGGUGACAAGUGAAGGCCGCAGAGGUGGGGACAGAAGGUGGAGCCACUCUCGGGUGGGUCGUGAUCGACCACUUUAAAGUAAAAGAUUUAAAAAAGAAAUCCAGGCUCCCCUUCGGAGGACGGAGGGAAAGCGUCCCUCGGCCUGCUUAUCCCUGCCACCCGGGGCUUCCGAGCAGCGGCGCCAGGCAAGGACGUCUCGGAGGCUGGUGGCCUGACCCGGGACCCCAGGCUGUAGCCGGCUCCGCAGGAAGAGCUUUAGGUAGCUGGCCCAGGGUUACUGAGCAUCUCCGGGAGGAUUCGGUUUCCCAGGCAGCGAAGCGCGUGCUGCUCACCGAGCCGCGCUGCACGCGCUUUUCCCUUUCUCAGCAAGCGGGAAAGGCCUGUUCUCUCAGGAAGCUGAAAGCCGGAGGCCUGGAGGCUUGCAGGAAACCCGAGCUCCCUGCGACCGACUCUGCGAGAAGGGGCGGGGGAGAGCCCAGCAAGCCGCCCCGGAGGCAGGCGGUGCGAAUUCCUGAGGAAAAACCCCUCUGGAAGAAGCCAAAGACUUCUGCCCCUCCCCCGUCCAUCCGCCUUCCUUCUAGUUGCCUCUGCUCCACCCUGCUCGGCUCUCACCUGCGACCUGGCUGAGGGCUUAGCCCCUCACCCACCCCACCCCAUCCUUCAGUUCCAUCUCCUCCUUGACCUUUCUGAGGCCUGGGCCGGGGUAGCCAGGGUGUUGCAGAGGAAAUGAAAUUGUUCUGGAGAUUACAGUGGGGCUUUUGGCUAGACUCCCUAACCACCCCCAACCCCUUUCUCCUGCUUCCACGUUAAGCACCAACUUGUAUCUCCUUCACAAGAACAGACAAAUUUUCUCGCUUAUUUGCAGUUCUGCAAAGUUCGACACACAGAUCAGUGAACCUUGAGCGCCCUUGUGCAGACACACAUUGUGGAGGUUUGUCAAGAACUCUCGGCUGCGAUUAUAAUGACAGGUGAAUCCAGCAGCCCCAGGGGGGAACCUGACCUAAGUCCAAGACCCACACUAGGUUAGGGACCCAAAGACACUUCAAGCAACAGGUACCCUAUAUCAAGCAGGCUUUGGAGAGUCCAGUCCAGAGUCUCGGCACUAGACUGGGUAGGUCUACCUCAGUGACCAGAGACUAAAGCCUCCCACCAUGUCUAUCCCCCCGCACCCCCAGAUCUCUUCUCUCCAGAUCAUUCCAGAGUCACAUAACACCAGAAAUCUCAAAACUCUCCUACCUGCCUAGGGGGUACAGUCAGGCCUGGAGUCAGCGGGCCCAGGCCUUGUACAUAUCUUCUUAUAUGAUUCAAAAGAGAGGAAGAGGGUGGAAGAAGAGAAGGUGAAGCAGAAAGGGACCAGGGGGACAAAAGUAAAAGAUGGGUUUCACCACAGGGCACAAGCUGUCUCUUACACAAAUGUCCCCCAAUUCCGUCUCCCCCACAUUUAGGAAGAGAUAACGGGUCUCAGUAAUGACCUCCUCAAGGUCACCUCUCUGGGUGACAUUUCACACCUGAACCUGGUUGAACACAACCGGAAGGGAGGAAGGAGCCAUGUAGCUUAAGAGAGAUAAACAGCUUUAUGGGGUAUAAUAGCCUCCCUGUAGCCACUCUGCACUUCACAGAAAGCCUGGGAGAUUCGAGCUGCAGGAACCUAAGUGCUCUGGUGCACAACCAGUGUCAGCCUCAACCCACCACGUUCAGCCCGAAUUAGAGUUAAAGAAAUGAGGAAGCUUAGGCUUCCUUCUGCCUGGUCUGUUCCAUGAGCAGGAGAUGCUCGCCCAGGAGUACAGCUUGGUCUGUGUAGGGCCAGCCAUAUUUGCAAGUGAGUGCUAGUCAUCACUGGGAUGAAUACAAGCCUGGACCACCGAAGAUGUAGCUUUUUUUUUUGUGUAGGGGAGGCAGAGGUGUCAGAGAGGUUUACUUCUGCCGGAUUCGGAAAUUCAACUUGACUGAGACCUUCUAAUAGAUGUCUGUGUCUGGGUUAUCAAGGAGUCCUGGUGUGUGUGUGUGUUUGGGUGUGUGUGUGUUUGGGUGUGUGUGUGUGUGUGUGUGUGUGUGUGUGUGUGUGUAUGUGUGUGGCAUUUCCAGUGCCUAGUUAUCACAUAAAGAACUACGUAAAGAGAAAGCGUCUUACAGGGAAAGGGAAGCCGGAGCAGCCCCAGCACACCAUCUGAGGAACUCUUCCUUAUUAAAGAAAUCCUUUGUACAGUGCUGCGUUUCUCUCCCAGGUUUGUAGCCAGGCCACACCGAAGGAGGAGGCAGCUACAGUAGCUGUUACCUGCAGGCAUCCAGCAAUGUGUCCCUAGCAGCAGACUUGCUGUCCCCAGUGUGUAAGGCCCAGUCUUUGCCCAUUAGUGUGUGACUGAAAACAAUCCCCCUGCUCCAAAGCAGCCUCCACAAUGAGUACCCCAAAUCCCUAAGCAGAUUCCUGGACUCGGAGAGAGAACAAGUUCAGGGCACCAGGAUCUAAAUGCAAGAGCCCCACUCAAUUUGGAAUCGAGGAAUAAAAUCACCACGUGUAAUAGCAGGUAUCUGUGCCUACGUGUGUGUGCGGCGAUUUCAUACUUUUGUUCCUAGAGGGACACUGGAAAUAUUUUUCCCCUACCUAAAGGAAAGUGCUGUUUUUACAUCUUGGUGUGGUAGUUCAACCUUCUGCAAACCGUAUUGUGUAUUUUUUUUUCCUCCCUCCUUGAUUUUAAUGAAAGAAGAAUUGUACAAGCCACUGCUUUGUCCCAGAGCUGAAACAAAGACUAACUCAGAAAGAACGCUCUCCAAAAUGUCCUCUCCUCUGAUUUGGGAAGAAAGCUCAGGGAGUCACCAGCCCAUAAUUGUGGCUGCUGUUUUAAUCCUCCUUGGUUCACAGCUCAUCUUUCCACUAUGCAGAAGUACCAUUGAGAUAUGACUAACCUUUAGGGUUAUAUCCCAAACUGGGAGUCUAGGGCUUACACUUGGAUUGUCUGGGCCUCUUCUAACCCGAACAAAAAGGAUUUGAAGAAAAUCACAUUUUUCCCCUCGCAACAAAGCAUUCCUAAUCACUUCAGCUUGUUGGUGAAUUUUUAUUCCCGUGUCCACUUGGGGUAUUGAAAUCGAUCGCUGCAAUAUUUAAUAUAUUACACUCCUAGGGUCAUUGCUCUCCUAAGACCGGAUUCUCUCCCUCUUGCCCUCACCUCAGCCUGCCUCCUACCCUCCCACUCCCAUCUGUCCGAGGCCCUCUGUUUAUCUGUCCACCUAACGUCUUUAAUUCACAGCCCACCCAGGCAACUUCAGCAUGCUUAUUCUGUUUUCUUCUAGAAUGGACAAUUCUGAAAGCUCUGGGCAGCAACGCACUUAAGGGAAAAUGAGGAGCUUAGUAGAUUGGAGAAAAUUAACCAGCCACAAACAACCUCAUUAAAGAACUGCCUACCAAGAGUUAAGAAUUAAUAGCAAAAUGGAUGGGAAAAAAACCCUUGAGUGAAGAGACCUUCAACCCCCUUUCCUGAAAGGUUUCUAAUGAAGAGACUGUGUGUGUCACCGCGCAUAAGAGAGAAAAAGAGGGAGGGAAGGAGAGAGCUCUUUAAACAAAAGACAAGGAGGCCCAAGCAGGGGCCUGGAGCCGUCCCUGGAGCCUGCUCAGCCUGAAGACCCUCCAGUUCCCCAGCCAGGCAGGCAUUUUGGAGAGGUUCUGCCACCGAGGCGGAACGGUCCUGGGCUCGCUCUCCAUGCGGCUGGAGAAGAACUGGAGACAAAGCCCGGAUCCAAGGCCUCGCAGCGAGGCUCCAAUCAGCGCCCCGGGCUUCUAGCCUAAGGUCCAGGCACGACCCCCUGCGGGCUGUGACCCGGGAAGGGAGCCCAGGCCCGGCCCCAGCCUUCCCUCGGCCCUAGGUAGCCCUGGCUAGCCAGGUUGCCCCUGACGCACUCAGCCAGCUGCUCUUGGGUGCUUGCGAGUUCAAAACAGGCUCUCUCAUUAAUUAAAAGCUGGACAGUCUUGUCACUUUCUUUCCUGGCCGAGGAAGCGCCUCUAGAAGUCCCCGCAGUACUCUUGGCCCUCGAGUGAGGCCUUGGAGGUCGAGCGGCCAUUUACUGCCCUCUGAUUGCGCCGAGGACCAGGUUAGCUCAUAAAGCCUUUCACACUCAACAAUGGGGAUUUUCUCAACAAUUAACAAGAAACAACAUAAUAAAGCCAUUUACAAAGACCUCGCUAUUUACUAUAAAUUAGGCACUCUUUAAGAGACCAGUGCGUAAUUUCACACACUUUACAACUGGGGCUGCAUUUUAAACACCCGGGAAAACAAGCUUGUUGCACUUUCCUGUGACCUAUGCGCGGUGCACCUCUGUUUCCCCUCUUCCCCGGUAGCAGCUUUGUUUGCAUUGCUGCACUCCAACCUCCCAGCCGAGGGUGGUUUUCCAGGUCACUGUCUCACGUUUCCCGUUUCCAGGUCACCAUUCCUCUUGCAGAUGCACUGAAAGAAGUUCCAAGGGUUGGGAACCACGGAGCCAAAGCAAGCAGGCCUUGCCCCAGGUUACUCCCACUCUAGGAGUUGAGCCGGGCCUGGCUAGAGCGCUCCCUCCCCACACGGUAGGCCUCUGCUCCUGAGCCUCUUCCCAGGAGAUCGCAGCCAUGCUGGCCCAGUCCCUUUGCCACUUGCCUCUCACAAGCUCACGUUUGGAGGCCUCGGAAAUCCGCUAAGCAAUGCAAAGAGCUGGGUCCCUUUUGCCUGGGGAGGAGGAAUGAGACCUGGGCAAGAAGAAACCCCCAACUCGAGGUUUGCUGUGGCUGACGUCUCACAGGAGCACUGUGGGAUAGAAUUUAUGUUGACUGCUCAACAUCUCUCCUCUUGAUGGCAUCACUCAGGCUCGCCUCGGCUCCCAUCCUGCUCAGCAGCAGCCCCUGGAAGCUGGACCCAUUGCUACUCUGAGGACUGGAGACCAAGUGUCCAAGCUGGAGCCUCAUAUUUUGUCCAAAAUUCUAUGGGAUAUUUGUCUUAAUUUAUGUUUAUUUCAUCUUAUAGGUCUCCCGUAGAUUCUCAGUUUAUAAUUUGGUGACAAUCUGUAGCCAGCAUGGAAAGUCCUAGUCUAAAUGCAGUGGUCUCUGGACUUGAACUUUCACUAAUUAAAGAGUGGGAAUUACAGACUUCCCCUGUGUGGGAAGUGCCCUACCUUUCACAGACUCUUUUGUUUUUUCUUUAUAAAGACAACUCACUGUCCCUAAAUUCUGCAUCACCUUCCAAAGAGGAAAGAACUCAAGCUCAGAAGCCAGUUGUUCAGAUUUCUGGGACUUUUCACUGAGAAUAUGGACUAGUCUUUGGAAAUAUAUACAAACAUGAAUUCAAGAAUAACAUCCCCCCAGUUUUUGCUUUGACCAUAUCUAUGAUUCCAAUAAUAAUAAUAAAAAAAAAAUCCAGUGAGCCUACAUCUGGCAACAUUCAAGCAGGGGAGGAAGGGAAGUAGUUCAAAGCAUCUGCUCACCCCACCCAAAUGUAUUUGGAUGCAGGUAUUCUCAGACUCAGUCCUCUGCAACAGGAGGAAAACCACAGAUCAUACACAGCAAUUAGGUCUGAGACCAUCCAGAACUAUCUGAAACAUUUAUAGACAAAAGGAAAAUUUCAAAGGGGCAGGAAUUAAAAGGUUAAGGAAAAUAAAUAGCUGAAUUUCCAUGAGAAAUAAUGAUUUAAAUUCACACAGUAAACAUUUCAUUGGUGUUUUGUUUUGCUUUGUGAUUUAUGGUCUAUAGACGCAACCCCUUAGAGUAAAGACAGCAAGGGUCUAAGACACAUCAUUUGGUGACCCAAGAAUUACUAGAUUCGACUUUCAUUAAAAUCACAACCGAUCUUUCUUUACUCUCUUAAAUAUGAGACUUUUAGUAGUUGGUCUGUAACAAGUUUGAAAAGUUUCUCUGUUAUUUGAGAGGAAAUCUGCCGGUGUUAUGCCCCAAAACCUGAUUGGUCUCAUCACAAAGUGUUACCACAAAACACUGCACCCGAUAAAUGCAUUUCUUUCAGGCAAAAACAUUACAAGUGAAAAUGUCAACAAAGCCAUUCAUUCUUGUUAACCCUUCUCCAAUCUGGAAUAAGUAGAAAUGUAUGGAAGCAGGAAUUUUAAACAGUGUUUUUAAUGGAAAAUAAAGCUGAAGCAAGCUUUUCGACAGUGCAAA